GAUGAACGCUAGCUACAGGCUUAACACAUGCAAGUCGAGGGGUAGCAGGGUAGCAAUACCGCUGACGACCGGCGCACGGGUGAGUAACACGUAUCCAACCUUCCCAUAACUCGGGGAUAGCCUUUCGAAAGAAAGAUUAAUACCCGAUAGUACUUAUUUAAAGCAUCUUAUUUAAGUUAAAGAUUUAUUGGUUAUGGAUGGGGAUGCGUUCCAUUAGAUAGUUGGUGUGGUAACGGCUCGCCAAGUCUUCGAUGGAUAGGGGUUCUGAGAGGAAGGUCCCCCACAUUGGUACUGAGACACGGACCAAACUCCUACGGGAGGCAGCAGUGAGGAAUAUUGGUCAAUGGGCGAGAGCCUGAACCAGCCAAGUAGCGUGAAGGAUGAAGGUCCUAUGGAUUGUAAACUUCUUUUAUAGUAGAAUAAAGUUAGCCACGUGUGGUUAUUUGUAUGUAUACUAUGAAUAAGGAUCGGCUAACUCCGUGCCAGCCGCCGCCAUAAAAC
rnacentral:rRNA from 1 species